rnacentral:lncRNA from 1 species
AAGUUUUAUAUAUGUUUUAAACAUAUUAUAUGUCUCCAGUAUUUUUAAGUUUGUAUAGUUAUAAGUAAUAUUUGUGAUUUAUACUCACAAGCCCUGAGGAUGCCCGCCAUAGAUGUGGGCGAAACGUCAGGAGAGAAUGCUUCUGGAACAUGGUCAUACAGCCUAAAAAUUUUGUUUACUGUUCUUUAUUUUCUAUGCAAUUGAGGUGUUUACUUCUGUUUUUUGCUAUGUGCUUUUUUGUUGUAUAUUGACGCUUGUUGUAAGCCACUCCGAGUCCCCUCGGGAAGAUGGGGAGGGGUAUAAAUAAAAUUUGUUAUUAUUUAUUGAAGAAUUUCUCUUUUUAUGUAGAUCUCAUCUGGAAGGAAAAACUGAUGGUCCGAAUGAACGGAAAUAAACUAUUGCAAUUAAUUCAUUAAGUAAAAUUGUAUUUACUGGAGACAAUUGCCAACUUGCCAGUGCUUCCGUAGAUUGAUUCUAUACACUAUAGAAUUCAUGGAAUUUGAUACUACAGUAGAGUCUCACUUAUCCAACAUUCGCUUAUCCAACGUUCUGGAUUAUCCAACACAGUCUGCCUUUUAGUAGUCAAUGUUUUUUAAAAACUACAAACAGACAAACAGGGCAUGCAAUUUCGGUGGGUAGGCAUCAUUAUGUCGAUUGUGCAGGGCCCACAAAACAGGAAAUCGUGGGUCACAUUUCCAUGGAGACUCAGAUAUUCGGUCUCCACUGGUGUAUAAUGAGACAAAGGCAAAGCCGUUCCAUAGAUAGCACUAUAAUAGAAGCGGGCAGCGGAGAAGAAGAAAGCAGCAAUAUAUGCCAGUGCGGCCAACAAGCAGUUGACAAUAAAAAUAUUGAAUUAAAUGGAAGCUGAUAAUAGCUUUCGCAUAACCCUGUGACGUCCAGAUGUGUUGGGUUAUAUGUCCCAUCAAGGGGGUUGUGGCCAACAUAUCUGGAUGUUAACAAGUUUAGGAAGACUGUUCUGGAUUACGUGGUCGGUGUAGACAUAUAUAAUACAGUGUAUCUUCACUAUGUGAGUGUAGGAAAAGGUUUUCCCCUGACAUUAAAUCUAGUCAUGUCUGACUCUGCGAGUGGGUGCUCAUCUCAAUUUCUAACCGAAGAGCCGGCUUUGUCCGUAGACACCUCCAAGGUCAUGUGACCGA